AUGGAAGCUGGCUGACUAGACAGACCCCUUCCCAGCUGAACGAGGGGAGGUCUGAGACGUUGCAGCAUCUUGGUGGACUUCACCCCCUUGCCCCAGAACACGGCCAGAACAUUUUGACGCAGUUGAGAGGGAAGUGCUGGGCUAUGGCUGGCAACUGGGGAGAGUAGGUUUUCCAAGAAGACAAAACAUUUCUUUUCUUGCUCUUGGGGCCGAGUGAAGUAAAUUAACCACCUCUGAUUCAUUCGGGCCUCCCAGGUGCUGAGGAAUGUGGAGAGGGCGUGGUGGCUGAACAACACUGGCUCCGCAGGACAGCCCAGUGGCCCAAGGAUUGAGGUCUGCACAGCUUGGAACUCCGUCCCGGCCUUUUUGGUAAACACUGGAUGCAUUUCUCAACACCAGGAUGACCAGCAGAGGAGGAAAACACCUGGGAGGAAAGUGGCCGUCCAGGAAAGGACCGAAAGCGUCUAUGCAUAAGUGCUGCAUGCUCAGAGAUGAGCUGGAAUGCUUGACCAUGAGUGGGGUACAGGCUCAUCUUUUCACCCACAUGAAUUUUUUUAUUGGACAGUGUUUACCUUUGUCCCCAUCCAAGGACAGGUUUAAACCUGGCACGCAGGUAGUUGUACUCUGGCGAUGAGAGCCAACUUUUUUAGCCGUGCUUGGGGACAAGCUUCAGCUGUGGCAGCCCUGGGAGAGAGGGAGGAUGGUGUGUGCCAUCCUUUCCAUCUCUUCAUUUGAGCAACCUUCCCUGUAGGAUCACAGCAGACACAGGGGCAUCUGUCAGAAGGUGACCGAGUGCUGAAAUAAGCUCUGGGUGAGUGUGGAGGAGGGUGGCCUCAGUUUACAUUCUCUCAUGCCUCAGUUUCCCUCUCUGAAGUGGAGACACAAUGAUGGCCACAUCCCACAGUGCUGUGACAGGGAUGCCCACGCAGGGCUCUUGGUCUUUUGCUCUCCCUUCCGAAGGUGGCAGUGAAGCGGGGAGGCAAGAAGAGGCUCCUCAAGCCAUCUGCAGUUGGAGCGAGCAGGCUCAGGCCAGGCUAACCUGGGCCUGCGGACUUAGCAGCCUGUUCUUGACCCACUGCAAGGGCUCAGUGUCCUGGCCCCACCUCCCUGUGCUGUAGGGAAGACCAGGGCCACUGCUGGCAGUUGAUGCCCGGUAGGCCUUGAAACAUUGUGAUCUUCUUGCCGCCUACCUCCAGUGCCAGUGCCCUGCCCGUAUCAAGGUUAUUUCCAGCUUCAAAAUGUGUGCGUGUGUGUGUGCUUUUGUAUAUGGAUAUGUUCACAUGUGUGCACAUGUGUGCCUGUGUGCACGUGUUCCUGUGCACCUGUGUAUCUGUGUGUUUGUGGUGGGGGGUGUUCUUAAUAAGAUGCUCGUGUUGGUGCAGCGCCACAACCACUCAUCACAAAAAGGACAUCUAGCGUGGGCUCCUUUAAGGCCCAUCUAUUUAGGGAAAAUGGUUACUUUUAAAUUGUUCUUUGCACUUCUAAGAGGCAAGUAUAAGAGGAGGUGUUGAGGCCAGGCAAUCAAGAAAGCUGCAGGGUGAACUGGAAGCAAAUGCGGGGAGGCUCGUGGGACAGAUCAGUGAGGCUGGGGACAGAGGCAUCCUCUGAACAUUGGGAACUUCAGGCAAAGCCCCUGCACAGCAGGCUGCUCCCCAAGGAAUGUGCCGUCCAGGCACUGUGAUGGAGGGACUCCCUGGCCAGGCAGGCAGCUGUCAGGGUCUGCGUCUCAUCACCUGGGGCUUUGCCAGCCUGCUCCAGGCCUGUGUGGCAACCUGGGGUUUGUGUGAAUGGUGUCCUCUUUCAGAAGGACUUCGCACCCACCUUCUCCCUUGGAGGAAAAAAGAGUAGAGAGGCAAAGACAGGAGGGCCAGUGAGGGCUGUGAGAGUUGCAUGCUCUUUGAAUGUGGACAGUUUCCAAGCCCAGGUCAGAUGCAAGCCCUCCUGAUGGGGUUCUGGGAAAUUACUGCCCUGCUCCUGCUCCCAGCAGUAGGCUGCACCUGUCCCUAUGUUGUCCACAGCAAGAGGAGCCCAUGCAAAACAGAAAUGGCCACCGGGACAGCUUAUGUGGCACCAUGUUCAUCAUGGGUACCCAGUCCUGCUGAUCAAGGCACCAGCGGUGUCCACAAACAACGCCCUUCUCCCCUACUGCUCCACCACCACAGAAACAAAACAAAUGACACAGGAGGACAGGACCAGGUCCACGUCAGCACCGCAGUGACUGAGCCGGCAGCCCGAGUGGGAGUGGCCAUGGUCAGAGUGGUCACUGUGUGGCUGUUUCCAUUACCAGGGCGGUCCAGACACACCGUGCCAUUAAACAAGGACCAAAUCCAGGGAUUCUGCACCAGAGGGCUAAUUAUAGAGCAAGUCCCUGUGACCUGGGCAGGCUGAACUGAAAGGGCCCACACAGCAGGGGGACAGGUCAGGGCCUGGGUUCCCUGUGACCUUCGCCACAAGAACCCACUCCAAAGGACUCUUCCACACAAGUGCCCGCUUGACAGGAGCUGCGGGUGUCUGCUGGGGUCUAGAGUUCCUAGGGCAUUUCAUCUUGGUGUCAGUUUUAUAUCUGAUAGCUAUAGCUUCUAGUUUUCCAGUUUAGCACUCUGGGGUGUGUGCAUUUAUGUGCAGAGAGAGAGGGAGAGAGAGAGAGAGAGAGAGGGAGGGAGGGAGAGAGAGAGAAAUCAUUAUUUUCUUCUUUAUAUGCUUGCCUUUAUUUUCUUAAUUUGUUAUCAUAACCAUAUGCAAGGCAGCCAGUUUAUGGAGUAAUCUGAUAUAUUUUGAUUUUUUAAAAAAUAAAGCAUUUUAAAGAAUGUGUGCUAAUUUACUAAGAUUAUUUGGGGGAAAAUAUUAAAAAAACACAUUUACUCACAAUUUAUCUCCUUAGUACUUCAAUAAUAAAACGUGGACUUUAAGAAGAGCUCAACUACAUGUAGGUAAUAUUUAAUGAAUACCUAUAAGUGUAGAACAACAUUAAUUAACUCAUUUAUUGCUCACAAUAAUCCCUGGAAGGAAAGAAACUUUUAUUCUCAUUUUAUUAUUAUUUUUUUAUUCCCACUUUAGAGGUUAUGACAUUAUUAGAAGCUUGUUGGCCAAGGUGGAGCAGAGAUGAUGGAUUUCCCACAGAAGUUUAAUGGAGGCUCUGUAGAAGUCUCUCUGCUUCACUACACAGAACUAAGGUUUGCUAACACCACAUGGUAGCUGGGUGUGUGUGUGUGUGUGUGUGUGUGUGUGUGUGUGUGUGCAUGACAGAGAGAAGAGCUAAUUACUCAAAAUAAUUCUUUCCCACACAUCGGAUUGGUUCUGUCUCUCUGGUGAACUCUAGUACAAUGGUAUAUAACUCUCUUUUUUGUAAAACUUGAAUCUGACCCCCUAAAAUUGAGUGGCUAAUGCCUGCCUCUGUCCUGAGCCUCAAGAAAGAAUUUUCCAGCAUGCAGUGGGAGAGGAGGAAGUCAGUAGAGCUCAGGAGACCACCUUUCCUAGUUGGCUGCUCUGAGACUCGUAAAUGGAUCAACAUCUGAGGGGAAAGAGAUGAGACAGCAGCACAGGAGUGUGACCUGAAGAAGGUAAAGAGUCGGGGGGGCCCUGGUUUUGGUAAAAGUUGUAUGAGUUGGGAGGUUUUUUUUUUAAAGGUCAGGAACUGUGCUAGUUAGUAGGAUUUUUUGUUGGUUCCUCUGCUUAAUUUUGUUGCUCUAGUACAUGGUUCUCUGGAUAUGCCGCUGACAGCCUGGCCCAGGGUCUCUGAGCUGGCUAGGUGCGACCUUCUCCUCCUUUGAGCACACAGUCCAUACGCCGCUUCCACUCCAGCCCUGUGGCUGCUUUCUAUGCUUUGUCCUUUUAAAUUCUUCCUUCAGUUCCUCUCUGGAAAUUUUAUUUAAAAUGCUGUAGCUCUUCCCACUGUCAGAUCUAACACUAUCAGAAAUAUUGCAAUUAUUCAGCAAUAAAAGAUAAAUGUAUUAAAGGAGAACAAUACUUUUAUAGCUCUAGGAGUCUCUCAACAUUCUGCGAACUGGGACCUUCAAUUUCCAUACAAGUCACCAAAAGAACUUGUAUAACCUUGCAGGGGAUCUGUCCUGAGUACCCAGUGUUCCUCAAGGGCGCCCCAAGGAAAGCGCAGAUCCACCAUGGGCAUUGUGCUGCCUACCCUGUGCCUUCUCCAUCAGCCUCUUACUCAGUUUGGAUACCUCAAUAAAAUGCAAAUCAGCGGCAAAGUGAAAUUCUCAGUGUUGCCCAAAGUGGAGGACUGCAGUGACUGCUGAACACAGCGCCGAAGAACUCAACUCUAUUGCAGUGAAAGGACAUCAGCUACAAUGAACACAACAGAAAACAACAGAGGUGACAGAAAUCUGCCAGGAUGAGGAAGUCAUCAGGAUGUCAGAAUAGCGUGAUUCGAAUCUCACAGGAUUCAGACACACUCAGGAAACUGAUAAGCCCCGGGGCCUCCACAAGGACAGCAAGAGCAUUCUGUUAUCUAAGUGUGCCAUGCUUUAUCUGCUCUUUUGAUGGACAUUUGGGCUGUCUGCAGUUUGGGGCAAUUACGAAGGAAGUUGUGAAGACCCGUCCUGGUCAGAUCAUAUGCUUUCAUUUUUCCUGGGAAGUGGAAUACCUUCUUUUCAACCUGUAAAGAGAAGUAACACAGUCCAUGUGGACUGUGUGCCCCAGGACAGUGCACCCCAGGCUGGCGAGCCCUGUGCUGCUCUUCUCUGGAGGGGAGGCACAUCUUGCUCUUCAGAAGAAGUAUUGGCCUGAGACUGACGGGAAAUUGAAAGACAGCUGGCUCCACACCACUGGUAGUUUGAGAGGCACAGGCUAGGGGCAGAAGCGGACAAGCCCAGGCCACUGGAAGGCCCAACUCACCCAUGAGGAUUUGCCAUCAAAAUUAAUUCCUGAUUUAAAUAUUUUCAUACUUAAUAUCAUGAUAAA